rnacentral:rRNA from 1 species
AGUGAACGCUGGCGGUAGGCCUAACACAUGCAAGUCGAACGGCAGCACAGUAAGAGCUUGCUCUUACGGGUGGCGAGUGGCGGACGGGUGAGGAAUACAUCGGAAUCUACUUUUUCGUGGGGGAUAACGUAGGGAAACUUACGCUAAUACCGCAUACGACCUACGGGUGAAAGCAGGGGAUCUUCGGACCUUGCGCGAUUGAAUGAGCCGAUGUCGGAUUAGCUAGUUGGCGGGGUAAAGGCCCACCAAGGCGACGAUCCGUAGCUGGUCUGAGAGGAUGAUCAGCCACACUGGAACUGAGACACGGUCCAGACUCCUACGGGAGGCAGCAGUGGGGAAUAUUGGACAAUGGGCGCAAGCCUGAUCCAGCCAUACCGCGUGGGUGAAGAAGGCCUUCGGUUUGUAAAGCCCUUUUGUUGGGAAAGAAAAGCAGCAGGUUAAUACCCCGCUGUUCUGACGUUACCCAAAGAAUAAGCACCGGCUAACUUCGUG